GGUGUUUGGAGGUGUUGGUCAUUUCCGGUGGUUGUUGGGUGUUUGAAGGUUGUUUUGGAGGGGAAAUGGGUGAGGUUUAGGCUGUUGUUGGAGAGAGCUGCUUCAGGCGGCUGGUUGGGUGGUGGAAGUUCAUCGGAAAAUGGGUCGGAAAGGUGGAGGAGAUAGAGUUGUUUGGUGAGAAGAGAGGGGUGCGGCUGCACUUCUUUGAGAGGAGGAAAGGAACAAAAUUUAGGGUUUUCCCUUUUGAAAAUUCUUACCUCUUAAAAAAUAAUUUACCCCCCCACCUUUAACCUAAUAGACAAACUAUUCUUUAUAUAGGGAGUUGAAAACUACAAUACCAUUAUUUUAAAAUCGUGGGUCAAAAUCAUCAGUUAAUAAAAUAUCUGAGUAUGAAAUAUUAUCUGUAUUUGAAUUAAUUUUUAGAUUGUGCAAAAUAUCGAAAUGAAUAUUAAUGAAUGUAACAAAUAAAAUGAAUAUAUAUAUAUAUAGAAUAUAAUGAACGUAACUAAUGAUAUAUAAAAAUGUAAUUUUAAAAUUAACUGAUAAAAAAUCCUAAAUUUUGAUACAUAAGGAUAGUCAUCGAUAAAUUUAUUUAAAAUUUAAAAAAAAUUAUUUUGAACUAUUAAAUAAAUAAAACUUAAAAGUUACGAAUUUUGAAAAUGUUUGGUCAAAAAUUGAGUGUCAACAAUGACUAUUUCACAAGUUGGCAAUUUUCUAAUUAAAAAGAUGAACGCGUUCAAUUUUUAAAAAUAUUAAAACUGUCUAAUUGGUAGUAAGUUGUGCGACUUUAAAAGGAGGAGCUUUUGAAAAAAAAAUAUACCCUUUAUUUUUCCAGGAGUUAUCUUUUAAAGAGCUAUUAUUUCAAUUUAUUUAUAGUAAUUAAUUACCACAAUAAUGUGGUCAAACUUUUUUAUUGUCUUCAUGAUUAGUGGUGUGCGUUCUAUUAAAUAAUACAGUGAUUUCUAAUUAGAAUUGGUUGAGUCGUUAAGUAGUCAUGUGAAAGUUGUUAUGCCCACUUGCAGAGUACAAAGUUAGUUACAAUAAUUGUGAUGUAUAAAUAGCUGUAACUUGGAUCUGAUUCAUAUAUGAAAACACUUUUUUUUCUUCUUCUUACUCAAAAUGCUCUCUAUGCUGUAGUUAAUAAACCAUUAAUAUGGUUUAGCAUGGUAUCAGAGCCCAGAUCGUGAGGGAUCGAUCUGCAUAGAAGAAGAAAAGAACAAGUGAAGAAAAAACUCCUAAAAGAGGCAUCAAUGCCGACAGAUGAAGCAACAUCAAUGGCAGAAAAUGAAGUCACAUCUCUGAAUCACAAUCAUCCACUUUAUCUUCAAGCAUCUGAUGCACCUGGAGUAAUCUUAGUCCCAAUCAAGCUAAUAGGACCAGAGAAUUAUGUCUUGUGGAGUCGCUCGAUGAAAUUGGCUCUUAGAGGAAAAGGAAACAUGAAUUCGUUGAUGGAUCGUGUGGGAAGACAACUUUCAAAGGAGCACUGGAGGAACAAUGGGAAAAAUGUAAUGCAAUCGUGUUAUCGUGGAUUGCAAGUAUUGUUACAAGUGAAUUACUGCCAGGGAUUAUAUAUGUUUCAAACGCGAAAAGAGUUUGGGAAGACUUUGAGGAAAGGUUUGAUAGAUCAUAUCUAACGCGAAUUUAUUAUUUGUGGUCUAAAAUUGCAUCUCUUAAAUAGGGUACUGACUCUGUAACUUCAUACUAUUUGAAGCUCAGGAAUUUGUGGUCUGAAUUGGAUGUGAUGAUCCCAUCACCAGGUUGCAAUUGUGAGGAUUCAACAGCCUAUGUAGGACAUUUAAAAUCACAAAGACUUCUACAGUUUUUAAUGGGAUUGAAUGAGAGUUUUAGCAAUAUUAGAAGUAGCAUUUUGGCUAGGAAAUAGGUGUUUGGAGGUGUUGGUCAUUUCCAGUGGUUGUUGGGUGUUUGAAGGUUGUUUUGGAGGGGAAAUGGGUGAGGUUUAGGCUGUUGUUGGAGAGAGUUGCUUCAGGAGGCUGUUGGGUGGUGGAAGUUCACCGGAAAUGGGUCGGAAAGGUGGAGGAGAUAGAGUUGUUUGGUGAGAAGAGAGGGAUGUGGCUGCUCUUCUUUGAGAGGAGGAAAGGAACAAAAUUUAGGGUUUUACCUUUUGAAAAUUCUUACCUCCUAAAAAAUAAUUUACCCCCCACCUUUAACCUAAAAGACAAACUAUUCUUUAUAUAGGGAGUUGAAAACUACCAUACCAUUAUUUUAAAACCGUGGGUCAAAAUCAUCGGUUAAUAAAAUAUCUGUGUAUGAAAUAUUAUCUGUAUUAGAAUGAAUUUUUAGGUUGUGCAAAAUAUCAAUUUUGAAAAUGUUUGGUCAAAAUUGAGUGUCAACAAUGACUAUUUCACAAGUUGGCAAUUUUCUAAUUAAAAAGAUGAACGCGUUCAAUUUUUAAAAAUAUUAAAACUGUCUAAUUGGUAGUAAAGUUGUGCGACAUUAAAAGGAGGAGCUUUUGAAAAAAAAAAUAUUCCCUUUACUUUUCCAGGAGUUAUCUUUUAAAGAGCUAUUAUUUCAAUUUAUUUAUAGUAAUUAAUUACCACAAUAAUGUGGUCAAACUUUUUUAUUGUCUUCAUGAUUAGUGGUGUGCGUUCUAUUAAAUAAUAUAGUGGUUUAUAAUUAGAAUUGGUUGAGUCGGUUAAGUAGUCACGUGAAAGUUGUUAUGCCCACUUGUAGAGUACAAAGUUAGUUACAAUAAUUGUGAUGUAUAAAUAGCUGUAACUUGGAUCUGAUUCAUAUAUGAAAACACUUUUUUUUCUUCUUCUUACUCAAAAUGCUCUCUAUGUUGUAAUCAAUAAAUCAUUAAUAUGGUUUAGUAUGGUAUCAGAGCCCAGAUCGUGAGGGAUCGAUCUGCGUAGAAGAAGAAAAGAACAAGUAAAGAAAAAGCUCCUAAAAGAUGCAUCAAUGCCGACAGAUGAAGCAACAUCAAUGGCAGAAAAUGAAGUCGCAUCUCUGAAUCACAAUCAUCCACUUUAUCUUCAAGCAUCUGAUGCACCUUGAGUAAUCUUAGUCUCAAUCAAGCUAACAGUACCAGAGAAUUAUGCCUUGUGGAGUUGUUCGAUGAAAUUGGCUCUUAGAGGAAAAGGAAAACUUGAAUUCGUUGAUGGAUCGUGUGGGAAGACAACUUUCAAAGGAGCACUGGAGGAACAAUGGGCAAAAUGUAAUGCAAUCGUGUUAUCGUGGAUUGCGAGUACUGUUACAAGUAAAUUACUGCUAGGGAUUAUAUAUGUUUCAAACGCGAAAGAGUUUGGGAAGACUUUGAGGAAAGGUUUGAUAGAUCAUAUCUAACGCGAAUUUAUUAUUUGUGGUCUAAAAUUGCAUCUCUUAAACAGGGUACUGACUUUGUAACUUCAUACUACUUGAAGCUCAGGAAUUUGUGGUCUGAAUUGGAUGUGAUGAUCCCAUCACCAGGUUGCAAUUGUGAGGAUUCAACAGCCUAUGUGAGACAUUUAAGAUCACAAAGACUUCUACAGUUUUUAAUGGGAUUGAAUGAGAGUUUUAGCAAUAUUAGAAGUAACAUUUUGGCUAGGAAAUAGGUGUUUGGAGGUGUUGGUCAUUUCCGGUGAUUGUUGGGUAUUUGAAGGUUGUUUUGGAGGGGAAAUGGGUGAGGUUUAGGCUGUUGUUGGAGAGAGCUGCUUCAGGCGGCUGGUUGGGUGGUGGAAGCUCACCGGAAAAUGGGUCGGAAAGGUGGAGGAGAUAGAGUUGUUUGGUGAGAAGAGAGGGGUGCGGCUGCUCUUCUUUGAGAGG
rnacentral:lncRNA from 1 species